CCUACGUGUGGCAGCAGUGAGGACUAUUUGUCAAUGGACGCACGUCUGAACCAGCCAUGCCGCGUGCAGGAUGACGGCUCUAUGAGUUGUAAACUGCUUUUGUACGAGGGUAAACCCCGAUACGUGUAUCGGGUUGAAAGUAUCGUACGAAUAAGACUCGGCUAACUCCGUGCCAGCAGCCGCGGUAAUACGGAGGAUCCGAGCGUGAUCCGGAUUUAUUGGGUUUAAAGGGUGCGUAGGCGGUGUGAUAAGUUAGAGGUGAAAUGUCGGGGCUCAACCCCGAAACUGCCUCUAAUACUGUUGGACUAGAGAAUAGUCGCGGUAGGCGGAAUGUAGGGUGGAGAGGAGAAAUGCUUAGAGAUCAUACAGAACACCGAGUGCGAAGGCAGCUUACCAAACUAUAUCUGACGUUGAGGCACGAAAGCGUGGGUAGCAAACAGGAUUAGAUACCCCAGUAGUC
rnacentral:rRNA from 1 species